GGAAACCUUGUUCUCGGGAUUCCGGCGGCAGCUAAGAGCUGCAGGGCUGCCACUACCGAACAAGUCACCCUUCUUGGGACCUCAGGGAUAGAACCUGUGUAUUGCACAUUCCCGCCAUCUUCUCGCCCGCCAGGCAGAUGCAUCUGAAACUGCUCUGUAGUACAGCUGCGAUGAUGAGGGUUGCGCUCAACCUCUCAUUCCGAGUCCACAGAGAUUUGGGGUUUUGUGUGACUGUGAGAAGAACGAGGAUGUAAGAAAGGCCGCAAAAUAAUGUUCCUGAGAGUCUACUUUCUUCAUACCCAUACCAGCACUGGACAGGGGUCAGGAAGGUACCAUUACUGAAGCUCAUAGAGG